rnacentral:rRNA from 1 species
GACGAACGCUGGCGGCGUGCCUAACACAUGCGAGUCGAGCGAUGAAGCCCUUCGGGGUGGAUUAGCGGCGGACGGGUGAGUAACACGUGAGUAACCUGCCUCAAAGUGGGGGAUAGCCUUCCGAAAGGAAGAUUAAUACCGCAUAAAAUCAUUUAAUCGCAUGGUUGAAUGAUCAAAGAGUUAUUGCUUUGAGAUGGACUCGCGGCGCAUUAGCUAGUUGGUGAGGUAACGGCUCACCAAGGCAACGAUGCGUAGUCGGCCUGAGAGGGUGAGCGGCCACAUUUGGACUGGGACACGGCCCAGACUCCUACGGGAGGCAGCAGUGGGGGAUAUUGCGGAAUGGGCGAAAGCUUGACGCAGCAACGCCGCGUGAGUGAAGAAGGUCUUCGGAUUGUAAAGCUCUAUCUGCAGGGACGAUAAUGACGGUACCUGAGGAGGAAGCCACGGCUAACUACGUGCCAGCCGCCGCUGUAACAC